CAAUCAAGUGGAAGAACAGCAAGUACAAAGGCCCUGAGGUAGAAGCCUCCUUUGCAUGCAGUUAUCUGGAGCAAAGUAAUAGGCAAUGAGUAUAGAAAGAUAACCAGAGUCAGUCGGGCGUGGUGGUUCACGCCUGUAAUCCCCGCACUUUGGGAAGCUGAGGCGGGCGGAUCACGAAGUCAGGAGAUCGAGACCAAUUGCAUGUGAGAUGAGACUCUUGGCAUACCAUUGAGUUUUGGUUCUUUAUCCACCUUGCCAAUCUGUGCCUUGUAAUUGGGGCAUUUAGCCAAUUUACAUUAAAGGUUAGUAUUGAUGUAUGGUUAAGUCUGAUGGACUUCCCUUUGUAGGUGGCCUGACCUUUCUAGCUGCCUUUUUUUUUCUUUUUUCAUUGCGACCUUGGAAGAUGAGAGGCUUGAGGAGGCAAUCAACAUGUCUACUAAAUUUCCAUCCACAUCAUAUAUUCUCAAUGGCAGUGAUAUUCCCCCAGGCAGGCAAAUAAAUGUGCCAUCAUGCCCAGCUAAUUUUUAUAUUUUUAGUAAAGAGAGGGUUUCACCAUGUUGGCCAGGCUGGUCUCGAACUCCUGACCUCAUGGGAUCCACCUGCCUCGGCCUCCCAAAGUGCUGGGAUUACAAGCGUGAGCCACCAUGCCUGGCCCCUGGGGCCCACAUUUUGAUCUUGGACUUCUGGCCUCUAUAACUGUGAGAAAACAGAAUUCUGCUGAUUAAGCCAUCCAGUUUGUGGUACUUUGCUAUAGCAGCCCUAGCAGGCUCAUUUAGACAGCAGCUAGCCCAGAAGACUAAUUUUUCUCACCUCCUCAUAAGAUGGUUUUAAUAAUAAAAUGAGCUAAUAGAACUAAAGCCCUUUGCAAAUAGUUAAAGCUACAAUUAAGAUGAAAGGGUUUCAUAUCACUAUGAUAACAGUCCCUGGCUGCCAUAUUUAAAACUACUGGAUUUUUAAAAUUACCCGUCUUCUAUGCAUACAACUGAAUCCUUUUCCUGGAUAUAUUUUUCUCUGUAGAACACAUAUCACCUUCUAACAUACUAUGUUUUACUUAUUUAUUUUGCUUAUUCUCUGUCUCUUCCCACGAGUAGCAAAGCUCCAUGAAGGCAGGGACUUUCUGUUUUGUUCACUGCUAGUCUCCAGCCUGGCGCAUGGCAGGUCCUCAGCAUGCACUUAUCAUUCAUGCAUGUUGGAUGAAUGAUAAAUACACAUUUACUCCUUAUCUUCAUCAGGCUAUUGUCUACUGAUCCUUUAAGGCCUAACUCAGGCCUACUCUUUCUUAGGAAGCCUCCCCACGCCACUUUCCUCUUUCCUAGUUUGGAGCUUCCCCUCCAUUCUCUUACAUGGAUCUUUCCAACAAUGCAGGGACCACAUUGUGUUUGUUUCCAUGACUCCCUCGCUGUGGGCUUUGGAGGUGAGGAACACCCAGGUCUAUAUACCCUGUAGUCAAAGGAGGCGGCUCUGUGCCUGGCCCUUGGUAGGCACUCUGUGCUUCUCUGUUGAGUGAGGCAGUAGCUAGGGAACAAGGGAAGGGCAUGGGCAGAGGGUGGAUCAGAGGUGGCCCACAAGGGGGUACUGACCUCGUAGCCUAGGCUGUGCCCUUGAGCUACAAUAGUCAACAACACUAAACACUGAAAAGGAAGCCCACCACCACAGGUUGCUGGAACCACAGAGGAAACCAAAGUGGAGAAGAGUGAGGCCAGCUGGGAGGAUGACCUCACGGUUUGGAAUAGAGGAAGUAAAAUAAAAAUUGAUAAAUCAGAGCAGAGAUAUGGAAAGCCACUUUAAAGAGAAAACAAAUGAAAGUUUCCUGGAAAUGCAAAACAGGAGUUUCACCUGAUUAAUAUGUUCACAUAACUGAAUAUAGAAUGAGUCAUCUGGGGCUGAGAUGGGGCAUGGGGUUUGUCAAUUAAGAAAUUUUGGUUAGAGGUCAGGCGCGGUUGCUCACACUUGUAAUCCGCACUGUGGGAGGCUGAGAUUGGCAGGUCACUUGAGGCCGGGAAUUCAAGACCAGCCUGGCCAACAUGUCGAAACCCCGUCUCUACUAAAAAUACAAAAAUUAGCUGGGCAUGGUGGUGGGCCCCUGUAAUUCAUUACUCAGGUGGCUGAGGUACAAGAAUCACUUGAAUCCGGGAGGUGGAGGUUGCAGUGAGCUGAGAUUGCACCACUGCACUCCAGCCUGGGUGACAGAGCAAGACUCUGUCUUAAAAAAAAAAAUUUUUUUUUUGUUAGAAAAGGGAGAACUGGCCAGGUGUCAUGCUCAUGUUGUAAUCACAGCAAUUUGGGAAGCCAAAGUGAGAGGAUUGCUUGAGCCCAGGAGUUCGAGAUCAACCUGGGCAAGAUGGUGAGACCCCCCACCUCGAUUAAAAAAGAGAGAGAGAGAAAAGGGAGAACUAAGAGGUCUUUGUCAGCUGAGCUGUUGGCUAGAGAGUGCCCGGACUGGGGAUGAAGAUAGCAGAUCUUCCUGGGAAGUCUUUGAUGGGAAUUAAAUCUCAGAGGUGGGGGCAGGGCCGGUCUAGUAAAGGGAGGCCAGAAUGAUUAGCAAGUAGUUGGAGGUGGGGCUCAAAUAUAAUAGUAUAAUUAAUGGUAAGAAUUCUCUGCCCCAUGUGGAACAUGGUGGUGGUGUUUGCAUUUACAAAGGUAAAAAGUAUGGGCCAGGGCAAUGGCUCAUGCCUGUAACCCCAGCACUUUGGGAGACCGAGGCAGGAGGAUCUCUUGAACCCAGGAGUUCAAGACUAGCCUGGACAAUGUAGCAAGACACUAUCUCUACAAAAAACCGCACACCUGUAGUCCCAGCGACUUAGGAAGACAGAGGCAGGAGGGUCACUUGAACAUAGGAGUUUGGGGAUCCAGUGAACUAGGAUCACACCACUGCACUCCAGCCUGGGCAACAGAGUGAGACCCUAUCUCUGAAACAAAAAUAAAAAAGAAAUAAAAAGUACAGGUAAGACCAUCUGUAAAGGUCAUUGUGCUCUGAGGGAAGAUUUGAGAAGCUCAGCUCAUGCUUCUUGUCCACAAAGAAUGAGGAAAAUUAUCACUGGCUUGCCAGGCUGAACUGCCUUUGGUAUUUCACAGUCUUGAGGGGGAAACUGUCAUCCUUUGACUGUUCAUUCAUUCAUUCAUCAAACAUUUUUGAGCCAGAUACUGUGCUACAUCCUGGGGAUACAAAAAUAAAUGUUAACAACCAGUUCAACUAAGAACCUUGACCUCCUGGAUUUGUGUAAUCUAUAAUCCAGUUCAAACAAGCAUCCUCUGACAUCCCCCUGUGCUGUGGGGAGGAAGGUGGUUAGGAAGGGCAGCU
rnacentral:lncRNA from 10 species